AUCUUCUGUUGCUUAGGGUACGCGAGAUAUUUCCCCUCCCUCCGAAGAUGAAUUCGACGCGAUUUUUGGAAUUUCUGCUAGGAUUGGAUUGGAUCGGGUAUUGUCUUGGCAGUUAUAGGCGAAUUAGCGGUUGUCAUUGUCCGUCGAUGAUGGCCACUAAUUGAAGUGCCUCCGCAUGAUUGUGGAUGACGGAUAUGAGCCGGAUGAUUGGUCAACGUGGCGACUUACUCAGAUGGACUUCCUGACACGAAUUGUGCUUCCGUGCUGGUGGAUGCUGAUUUCGUUGCGUAUCCGAGCCGUGACGAGAUCACUAAAGGUAUUCCACCUGGCCAUUCUCCUAUCCGGUCAGCUUGGGUACGGUCGGAGAGAAAGUCUGCUAUAUGGUCUGUGUUAGUUGGGGUUGAAAUUUAAGUGUUUUUUCUGUUGAAAAUUUCUAAAUUUUGUCUUGCUUUUUUAUUUUUUAUUUAUUUAUUAUUAUUUUUUUUUCAAUUCAAUCAUUAUUUUUGGCUUCAUAUUUUCUCACAUUCUUCUCCCGUCUCUAUAAAAGGUGUAAACAAUUUUUACAGGUUGGUUUCAAUAUAAGGCAAGUAUGGCGUGCUAUGAGUUUUCUAUGUAAAUUUCAUUUUUUCCAAUUUUUUUUUUUAUUUUUUUUUUUAUCAAAGUUGUCCCUGUGCAUAACUUAUGUCCAACUUUACCAGAUCGUCUCGGUGGCCCAAGGGAAUUGUCGCCGGCGGGCCUGUGGAGUACUGGUAAUGCAAAAUUACAUUUUUUUUCUGCACAUUCUCUUGAUUUUCGCGAAAAGAUCGCAACUUUCGGGUGGAGGAGUUGCGCAACCGGCUCAUGUCUUGGACGUUAUGGCGUAGCCUCCGCGUGUCCCAUGAGAUCCCACUCCCUCAGCAGCAACAGUCUGGAUAAGCCAACUUUACCGCUUCGCAAUGCCAUUAAUCGGGUUGGCGGUACUGCAAAAAGCUGCACUUUAGGUUUUUGGACCGCGCGUAAAGAUCGCUACGCUCGAGGGAAGACGUAGCGCAGGUUCUCCUGGACGUACCCGGUAUCGAUACUGGCGCGGGUUCCUUGAGAAAUCCUCUUCCCUCAACCCAUUCUCAGUCCUUUGGGUGGGGUAUUCUUAUUCAUGAUGAUGCGUGAAGGGGUAAAGUAGGACGGACUUACUUUGCCAAGAUGGAGAGAAUGUGGUCUUCUAAUUGAAUGCAACAAAAAAAUGAACGUACGUGAAUGAUGCUCGUCGAAGGAUUUCACAAAGUAAUUGUCGAAGAUGGAAGCAGUUUUCUCUGAACAUGUGACAAGAAAAAAAUGCUGGCAAUAAUUGCAAAGGAAAUGAAAAAAUGAAUAGAUUUGUAAAAGAUGCUCGUCAAAGGAUUUUACAACGUAGUUGUCGAAGAUGGAAUCAGUUUCCCAAUUGCUGAUCUAAAAAUGGAAUUCAGAUGCAGAUUCUGUCUACGUACGUGUGAUAUCAUCAGCUCCAGAAUAUUCUCCAGCUUCGAACGUGCGACACCUAACUGAUAUUUCUCGCCUCCCUCCUGCCUGUCCAGUUUCAAUUUUACGUGAUCAGCUUUUAACGGAAUAACCAGCGCAGCGUGUGGCGAUUUUAUUCGGCGGAACCGCGGAAUUCUAGCGAGCUUCGAGAAGCACUUUUCCGUAUGUACGUACAAUGUUUGUAAAUUGAACUUGUCGCCCUCCCCCUCUCCCUUCAUCGGAGCAUGUGGCGCGUUGGCUUAUGAGCUUUACAUAUACCUACCUACGAUGGACGCGAUACAGCGCGGAAUAAUUAUUGAAGAGACUUACCAGUUCGCUGAACGAUAUUCUGACGUGCAAUUUUCAUCACGUGCGAAUUUUUUGAUUGGUCAAUGGUCAUCGUUGCUCUCACUGACGUGAGCUAUAUUUUUGAACGCAGCACUUGAGCGUGAUAAUUUUAGCUGCUACGAUUAUUCCAGUUUGAAGAACUGUAUUUUACGCAUGCGAAUAUUUGUAAAUGUGAUUAUGCCCUCACCUGGCUCACCUGCUAUUUGGAUUGAAAUGAUUUUAUUGGAAAAGCUGUAGAUUAAUCCCUGAUGAUUGAAUAGUUCUUCUAUGUUGAGAACUUGCUUGAACGUUCGCUGAUUUGAUUAUGUAGUACUUUCCUAUACUUGUACCGCUACUUAUCGAUUUUAUGGAUUAUUCGAGCGGAUAUUUUGACGUUUUAUUCACGAUGAGCUCCUUUUUUUUCCAAUUGAUGGAUGAAUAUCCAAGGGCAAUCUUAUGAAGGUUUGAUGAGUUAGGUGAUGCUUUUCUCUAGUCUAGUUUUUUUUCUGAGUAGAGUUUAGGGAUAAUGGGAUAUAGAAAAGUAUUUUUUUUUCAACUGUCUGUCUUAAUGAUAGGGUGAAUAUUAGUUGGGAUGUUAUUUUAUAGGAUAGGAAUGCAACAACAAUAUUCAUUUCGGACGAUUAUUUUUGGCUGUAGUUUUUCAAGACUUUAAUCAAAUCAUGCUGUUUUUUUUUUUUUUUUUUUUUGAAAAUUGGAUAUGUACUACAAUAUUUUUGAUCAAAAUUGAAAAAAUUUUGGGCGGUUUGUAUUUGGCUAUUUUCAAAAUUUUGUUGUAAGUGACGCGCCGAUGUUGGUAUCUGGUCAACCUGGAGACCUCACAACAUCGGAAGAGACCCGGAGGGUUUUGCGAUGCCUACUGCGAUCGUCCCCGGCAUCCGGGAUACCAAGGCGGCAUGGUAGGGUCGCAUUAAACGAAGGGUAAUGAGGGAUGGUAGAUUUUACACGUUUAACUAGAUAUCUAACAUUGUUCGAAUCGCAGGUCGAAAGGUCUUUAUUUGAUCGUCGGUGGCGUUCUUUGUGGUACCUCGUGUGUGCGACUUUUUCCUUCAAAAACACACUCGCCGUGUGAUUUUUGGAGCGAACGAGUCGUAUACGAGUUCUCCAAGGCGUCGUCGUCGGGCGAUUUGUGGUGCGUGAAAGUGCGUGUAUUGAAGCUGCGGGUGAGUGUAGGGAAUUGAGAUACUGUUCCGGAGAGUUGGGCCCGACAAAGGGUUCGAUUGUCUGGACUGUUGAGAGUGCGAGAAGAGCGGAUGUCGAUCUGGAUUUUUAUGCUUUGUUAGAAUCUAGUCAAGGGUGUAAGGUCUUUCCGUCAUCGUAUGGGUAGAGAAAUAAUCGAAAAUUGAACUAUUAAAAUGAUUAGCAUCGAACUUUCUAGGAAUGUGUUUUAGUCAUCGUUGGUCGGAUGGGAGAUGACUGGGGUUCGAUUUUUUGGUACUGUGUAAGGAGUCAGGUACAGGUGAGUCGUUACUAUGUUACGUAUUAUAAGUUAGUUUACACGAGUCGAUUCAGGUGAGUCGUUAUUUAAUUACUUAUGUACUUAAGAUUACUUUAUUUGCGUCAAACUAAGACGAGUUGACGAACAAAAUUGUCGAUCAUUCGAGCUGGUUUUCGAUGAAAUUUGUCGAGAAAUUGAGAUUAGGACCCCCCGCCCAUUUACUUUUUAUGUAUAUCAUGUUGAUGUUGUAUCAUUUCUGUUUGUGUAUUUUUUUAUUUUUUUUUUUUUUUUUGAAAAUUUGUAUCAAUUACAAUUGUUAUUAUUAUUCGUGUAAUUUUGUAAUGACCAAUCAUGGUUUUUCACUGUCGAGCGGCCGGCAGUGUUUUUUACUCCAGAUUGGUCAACGUGUUGUAGAAUUAAGUUUGUAUUGAUUUCUUUGCCGUUGAAAAGUUGAAACGAGUUUCGUUUUGUGU